UACGUAGGGUGCAGGCGUUAAUCGGAAUUACUGGGCGUAAAGCGUGCGCAGGCGGUUUCUUAAGUCAGAUGUGAAAUCCCCGGGCUCAACCUGGGAACUGCAUUUGUGACUGCAUGGCUAGAGUACGGUAGAGGGGGAUGGAAUUCCGCGUGUAGCAGUGAAAUGCGUAGAUAUGCGGAGGAACACCGAUGGCGAAGGCAAUCCCCUGGACCUGUACUGACGCUCAUGCACGAAAGCGUGGGGAGCAAACAGG
rnacentral:rRNA from 1 species